rnacentral:rRNA from 1 species
GUUAGUUUUACCCUACUGAUGAGUGUUGUCGCCAUAGUAAUCCAACUCAGUACGAGAGGAACCGUUGGUUCAGAUACUUGGUAUUUUCGCUCGGCUGAAAAGCCGAUGGUGAGAAGCUACCAUCUGCCGGAUUAUGACUGAACGCCUCUAAGUCAGAAUCCCUGCUAGAACGCGACGAUUUCCACCUCCCCCGAUGUGACUCGGUACCGAUAGGCGCAAGCCCAACACCAUAGCACAUCGCAAUUCGGCGUAUUGGGGGAGAUAAAUCCUUUGCAGACGACUUAAACAUCGAACGGGGUAUUGUAAGUGGCAGAGUGG